CCCUCUCCGAGAGCCUCGGGUUUCUGUAGGCACAGUGCAGCAGCCUCUGUCUUCAUUUUAUGUCAGAGCAUUAAUUCUGUGAUUUUGCCCCUGGUAUCAACAGAGCUUGCCUGGUAGGUGGGUGGGGUAUUGGGAUUUAUGUUGUAGACAAAUUCGGGAACACUUCAGUCUUUUUUCUUUUUUCUUGUUUUCUCCCCCCCCUUACAAAGCUUUUGAAAGUCCACUGGGGACCCCUAACGUUCAGCUGCUGCUGAAGCACACACUUCAAAGCCAGAGCUGCACACUUCUUUAGCCACCUAUGGGUUUGAUCAUUCUGGUGGGUUUUCAUUGCAGGCAGUAAUGCUCCCUUCCCCCUGUUAAAAGUCAUCUUUCUGGAAAGUUCUGAGAGCUCCUCAAAAUGUUUGGUAAAACAACAUUUCUGUUGUCAUAAAACAUGCCAGCCAUAUUAAACAGGGUAGGCCCUGGAGAUGCUUUGAGAGGCAGAAACCUUCGUGCCACCUGCAUAGCAGGUAGGACCCUUUCCUGCCCUGAGCUGUGGCAGCAGAAAAGUGCUUAGAAGUCACGGUUAUUGCAAAAGGCAUUGGGAGGAAUAACUCUGGGGAUUUCUAAGGAUGUCGGUGACAAAUUGGCAGAUGCUCAGCUCUCCAUAAACCCCUACUGCCUAGUCCCUAAACCCACACAUGUCCCCAUGGCUGCCUCACUUCUCUCCAUAGAAAAUCUCCUCUGCCCACAUUCUAAGGCCUGCACCAAGCUGGGCAGCCUCCAUGACCAAAACCUACAGUCCCCUCAUUGCCCUCAACCAGGGCAGAUGGGAAUUGCUGUUAUCAUAGCCUUUUGUCCUGGUUUCCUAGUGCCUCUUCUGAUGGGACCAAGCAGGACAGACAAAUACGUCCAUUGCAGCCUGGUUUAGGGGUUUUUUAUGUCGAAUUCAUGAGAUCAGCUUUUCUCUCUCUUAUGGCAGAAAUCUGUUGUGUUUCACAGACCAGCAUUAAUAUCAUUAUAACUUCCCCCCCAGUCAAAGGCAACAGAGUGGUCAGUUACUGGGAGUGGGUAGCCACACCAAAUCCACCUGAAAGUCUGAGCAGAAAAAUGUUAGAAAUGCAGCUGGAGUAAGUUCCCUGCUCUCUUUCAUGCCUCCAAUCCCAAGUAAAUCAGAAAAAAUCAUGCUUUCUGAGUGGCUUCUAACAUAAUGAAAGUCAAUUAGAGUGAUGCAAACGGAGCUGAUAACUGCAGGUUUUCAUCACUGACUCCAUGCUAAAUGUCUGUACUGUGUGGUUUGCAAGGAAGUAAGGGUGCAUGGAGAGGAAAGGAUGGGGUUUUUAAAAGCAGUUAAAUUGCCUCUAAUUAGGAACACAACUGUAGUCAAAACAUAAUGUGAGGAUAAUAAAUUGAUAUUUGCAUAAUGGAAAUACUACCAAACUGUACUUCAAAUAAGCUGAAUUAGAUUAUAAUUAGAGCUGUGUUUUGGGAAAGAAAAUCCUUCUAAUUGCCUGAGUACAGGCAGUGCCAAGGAGAAGAGGGCUGGCAGCUGCCAGGGAGGUCCUGUGCAGGACAAGCACUCCACAAACAGGGACUAUUCCCUGCAGGGGGGAUAGGGUGCCCACACCUACCAGCAGCCAGCACAGCCAGAGUGAGGCAGAUCUGUGGAGAAAAAAGGAAAAAGCAGGAGGAAUGUGAGGGUGCAGACUCAGCCAUCGACUGCAAAACUCAAAACUGAAAGAAAAUCCAGGGUGAAAUUGUAGGGGCAGCAAUUAGGGUGGAAAACACCCGUGUCUCAGGGGAGAUGGUGUGAAGGUAAAAGUACAAGUGUUAAACCUGCAAAUUGCAGGAAACCAGUGAACAUCUUUCUCUGGUGAAUUCUCAGCACUAUACUGAGUUGCAAUGGCCUCUUCUUCCUGCUGUUUGAUAACUGGCUUUACUAAACCAACAGUAAUUUUUUUUCUGCUGGAACAUAGUGAGGUUGCUCGUGAUUUAUUGUCAAGCUCUUACUACUCUUUAUUAAAAAACAGGCCACCUGGACAGCACUGGAUGACAGGUCACUUGCCUGUUGUACAAGACUAUGUAUAUCAGCAAGGAGGCUACAGCUGAGAUAAAGGAAAAAUGUUAUAUUCCAAAACAACUCUUUUUGAGAUAAUGAACACAGUAAUUACAGCUUGUCACUGAAGUGAAGGCAGCAUGAACCUUGAGGCUGACUUGUUGCCUGGUAGCUGCAGAAUCUCAUGGUCAGUGUUAAUGCCCAUUUUAGGGCUGGGCAGUGACACUAUCCAGGUAGGAAAAUUGAUCAGCAUACAAAAGCCUGCUCACUCAUUUUAACUGGGGGACAGAAAACAGUGAUUUCUUAAGUUCCAUGUGUAUUGGGUUUGCAAGGCCAGGUUUUGAUAGUGAGGGGGCUAUGGGGUUGGCUUCUUGAGAAACUGCUAGAAGCUUCCUCAAGAAGCCAGUUCCAGCUGGCUCCAGGACAGACCUGCUGCUGGUCAAGGCUGAGCCAAACAGAGAUGGUCAUAAUGCCUCUGUGAUGACAUAUUUAAGAAGGAAAAAAGUUAUUGUGCAGAUCUAAUUGCGGCUAGAGAAGAAAGGAGUGAGAAUAUGUGAUAGGAAAAACUACACAGAAGCAAGGUCAGUGGAGAAGGAGGGGGAGGAGAUGCUCCAGACACUGGAGUGGAGAUUCCGCUGCAGCCUCUGGUGCAGACCAUGGUGAAGCAGCUGUGCCUCUGCAGCCCAUGGAGGUCAACAGGGAUGCAGAGAUCCAUCUGCAGCCUGUGGAGGAGACCCAUGCUGGAGCAGGUGGAUGCCUGAAAGAGACAGUGAACUCAUGGAAAAUCCAUGCUGGAAUAGGGUCCUGGCAGGCACCUGCAGGCCCAUGGAGAGAGGAGCCUACACUAGAGUAGGUUUCCUGGUAGGAUUUGUCCUCAUGGGAGACUUGCACUGGAGCAGCCUGUGCCUGAAGGACUGCACCCUGCAAAAAGUGACUCAUGUUGGAGCAGUCUGUGAAGAACUGCAGCCUGUGGGAAGGACUCAUGUUGGAGAAGUUUGUGGAGAACUGUCUCCUAUGGGAUGGACCUCACACUGGAGCAGGAGAAGGACUCCUUUCCCUGAGGAGAAAGCAGCAUCAGAAACAACCUGUGAUGAACUGACCUCAGCACCCAUCCCUGUCUACCUGCACUGCUGGGGGUCCAGUUGCAGAGGGGAGUAAGAGAGCAGCUUUGGUAGGUACCUGGCACCCAACCAGGGUCAACCCACACUGCAAAAUACAAUGACCCUGCCCACCAGGCUCUCAACAUAUUUGCUCCUCAAAUACCCAGGUAGGGCUGCAUUACUGACAUUACAAGAAGAGGGCAUUAGAAAUGCCGGAGUAGCUUCAUGCGUGGAGUACUUACAGCACCAGUUUCCCCCCCACCUCCCCAGGAGGAGCUGGGAAUGCAGCUGUAAUGGGAAGGAAGAGGAUUAACUCAGGUUACCCUUCUUCAAGUGCCAUGGUCAUGU